rnacentral:rRNA from 1 species
UACGUAGGUGGCAAGCGUUGUCCGGAAUUAUUGGGCGUAAAGCGCGCGCAGGCGGUCCUUUAAGUCUGAUGUGAAAGCCCACGGCUCAACCGUGGAAGGUCAUUGGAAACUGGGGGACUUGAGUGCAGAAGAGGAAAGUAGAAUUCCAAGUGUAGCGGUGAAAUGCGUAGAGAUUUGGAGGAACACCAGUGGCGAAGGCGACUUUCUGGUCUGUAACUGACGCUGAGGCGCGAAAAGCGUGGGGGAGCAAACAGG